rnacentral:rRNA from 1 species
GGGGAAUAUUGGACAAUGGGGGAAACCCUGAUCCAGCCAUGCCGCGUGUGUGAAGAAGGCCUUCGGGUUGUAAAGCACUUUAAUUUGGGAGGAAGGGCUUACGGUUAAUAACCGCUAAGUUUUGACGUUACCAAAAGAAUAAGCACCGGCUAACUUCGUGCCAGCAGCCGCGGUAAUACGAAGGGUGCGAGCGUUAAUCGGAAUUACUGGGCGUAAAGCGCGCGUAGGUGGUUCAUUAAGUUAGGAGUGAAAGCCUCGGGCUCAACCUGGGAAUUGCUUCUAAAACUGGUGAGCUAGAGUACGGUAGAGGGUGGUGGAAUUUCCUGUGUAGCGGUGAAAUGCGUAGAUAUAGGAAGGAACAUCAGUGGCGAAGGCGACCACCUGGACUGAUACUGACACUGAGGUGCGAAAGCGUGGGGAGCAAAC